UACGAAGGGGGCUAGCGUUGCUCGGAAUUACUGGGCGUAAAGCGCACGUAGGCGGCUUUCUAAGUCGGGGGUGAAAUCCUGGAGCUCAACUCCAGAACUGCCUUCGAUACUGGAGCUUGAGUCCGGGAGAGGUGAGUGGAACUGCGAGUGUAGAGGUGAAAUUCGUAGAUAUUCGCAAGAACACCAGUGGCGAAGGCGGCUCACUGGCCCGGUACUGACGCUGAGGUGCGAAAGCGUGGGGAGCAAACAGGGAUUAAGAU
rnacentral:rRNA from 1 species